AUUGAACGCUGGCGGCAGGCUUAACACAUGCAAGUCGAGCGAGCGGCGGACGGGUGAGUAAUGUCUGGGAAACUGCCUGAUGGAGGGGGAUAACUACUGGAAACGGUAGCUAAUACCGCAUACCAUCAGAUGUGCCCAGAUGGGAUUGGCUAGUAGGUGGGGUAAUGGCUCACCUAGGCGACGACCCCUAGCUGGGCUGAGAGGAUGACCAGCCACACUGGAACUGAGACACUGUCCAGACUCCUACGUGAGGCAGCAGUUGGGAUGCUUGCACAAUGGGCGCAAUCCUGAUGCAGCCAUGCCGCGUGUGUGAAGCAGGCCUUCGUGUUGUAUAGCACUUUCAGCGAUGAGGCGUUACUCGCAGAAGAAGCCCCGGCUAACUCCGUGCCAGCCGCCGCGGUAAGA
rnacentral:rRNA from 1 species